CCUACGGGUGGCAGCAGUGAGGAAUAUUGGUCAAUGGGCGUGAGCCUGAACCAGCCAAGUCGCGUGAAGGAUGACUGUUCUAUGGAUUGUAAACCUCUUUUAUAAAGGAAUAAAGUGCGGCACGUGUCCCUUUUUGUAUGUACCUUAUGAAUAAGGAUCGGCUAACUCCGUGCCAGCAGCCGCGGUAAUACGGAGGAUCCGAGCGUUAUCCGGAUUUAUUGGGUUUAAAGGGUGCGUAGGCGGGUUUUUAAGUCAGCGGUGAAAGUUUGUGGCUCAACCAUAGAAUUGCCGUUGAUACUGGCAGGCUUGAGUAUGUUUGAGGCAGGCGGAAUGCGUGGUGUAGCGGUGAAAUGCUUAGAUAUCACGAAGAACCCCGAUUGCGAAGGCAGCCUGCCAAGCCAUGACUGACGCUGAUGCACGAAAGCGUGGGGAUCAAACAGGAUUAGAUACCCUUGUAGUC
rnacentral:rRNA from 1 species